rnacentral:lncRNA from 1 species
GGGAAGUCCUAAAAUGAACAUCUAAGAUCUAAAUAUGCGUACUAUUAAUCACAGAAGAGAGAUUUGGAUACAGAGACACCGUCGCUCCAUAUAAUGACUGAGAGGUGAUGACAUGUUCAGAAGGGUAUGUUAACUUAUUAAUGAUAUUUGCAAGCAUUUAAUUUAAUCUUAUAAACUCUGCUAUAAAUUAUUGUAAUGGAUUUUAUGUCUAUAUUUAUAUUUUUAUAUAAUAAAUAUCUAAAAGACAAAACGUUAUUGCUUCCAAGACAAUCUUUAUUUUAUACUGUAUUCUCAAUUAUUUAUAUAUGUUAAAUAGAGGAUCUCUUACUAACUAUAUAAAAUUAUGGCCAACAUAUCUGUAUGGUUAGCCCUACUAAGUUCAAUGCUUUAACCCCUUAAGGACUGAGCCAAAUCUACACGUUGUGAUCAAAACAAAAACUGGAAUUUGCGCUACAUGUCUGUCCAACCGUAAUUCACCUCUUUCAUAAUAAAUGCACCCACCCUUAUUAUAUAUCAUUUUAUUCAGAAACAGGGCUUUCAUUUAACAUCAAAUAUUUACCUAUGAAACAUAAUUUAAUAUGAAUAAAAUAUAAAAAAAAUGGGAGAAAAUAGGAAGUUAUUUUUUUUUAGUUCUAUGUGACAUUAUAACUGUCAAUGUCAUAAUACUGUUUGCUUUUACUGCAAUAAAAUACACAUAUUUGUAUUCAGUGAUGUCUCACGUGUAAAACAGUGCCCCCUAUGUACAGGUUUUAUGGCAUUUUGGGAAGUUACAGGGUCAAAUAUAGCACGUUACAUUUUUCAGGUUAUACACAUUGAAAUUUGCCGAUUGGUUACGUUGCCUUUGAGGCCGUAUGGUAGCCCAGGAAUGAGAAUUAACCCCAUGCUAGCAUACCGUUUGCAAACGUAGACAACCCAAGGUAUUGCAAGUGGGGUAUGUACAGUCUUUUCUAGUAGCGACUUAGUCACAAGCACUGGCCAAAUUAAGCUUUCAUAUUUGUUUGUGUGUGAAAAGAGCAAAAAACUUAAUUUUUACGCUAAUUUUGGCCAGUGUUUGUGGCUACUAAAAANNNNNNNNNNNNNNNNNNNNNNNNNNNNNNNNNNNNNNNNNNNNNNNNNNNNNNNNNNNNNNNNNNNNNNNNNNNNNNNNNNNNNNNNNNNNNNNNNNNNAAGACCGAGGAAAGAACAUUUCUUCCAAACUCAGUGGUUGCUUUGGACCUCACAUCCAGGACGUAAUGUUUAAUAAAGGUAUUAGCUGAAGCCCAAGUGGCCUCUCUACAAAUACUUUCUAUAGGAGUGUUAGUAACAGCUGCCCAUGAAGUAGAGAGAGAUCNNNNNNNNNNNNNNNNNNNNNNNNNNNNNNNNNNNNNNNNNNNNNNNNNNNNNNNNNNNNNNNNNNNNNNNNNNNNNNNNNNNNNNNNNNNNNNNNNNNNUUGUAGAAUGCACCUUUAAUCCCUCAGGGACUUGAGAUUCCUGAUACUGAUAUGCAGAAGAAAUAGCUGAAACAAUCCAUCGGUUCAAAGUGGCUUUUGAUGCAGCCAAUCCCCUUCUGAAUCCUGUAAAAUUUAGAAAAAGAGUAGGAGAUUUCCUCCAACUUGGCAUUUUAUCCAGAUAAAUAGAAAUGCAUCUGGAGACAUCUAGAGUGUGCCACCUCUCUUCCUCUGGUGUAGAAGGAGACUGAAAAAAUCAUGGAAGGAGAAUCUCUUCAUUGAAAUGAAAUUCCGACACUACCUUGGGCCGGAAUUCUGGAUUUGUUUGUAGUACCACUCUAUCUGGAUAGAACUUCAUGUAGGAUUCUUCCGUAGAUAAGACCUGAAUUUCAGAUCCCUUCUCCCAGAUGUAAUAGCCACAAGAAGAAGAACCUUAAAAGUAAGCAAUCUUUCUGAGGCAUCUGAAAGAGGUUAAAAUGGAGGGAGACCCCAACAAGACUACACCCCGACGCAUGACACACACACAACCACCGCCUACACACAUUAAAGAACAGCGACUAGCACAAAGGGGACACCCACAGCAAACGCAGGCACAGGACAAAAACUACCCGACGGACCCUCGACCUCCAAACGCCCCACUACUCGACAACUGCUCCCUACCCCCCACCCCAACGGAUUAGUGGAGAUGCUCUCAGGAAGCAGGGCUAGACAAGGUCACAGCAGGAGCACUAAUGUUUUUGCCUUUUCACAGUUUAUCUGCUUCCCAACACAAACAUACCAAUUAAUAAAAUGACUGAAUCUGAGUGUUCUCUACAGCUUUCAUGUCUGAAACUUGUGAAUGUGGCGAACUCCAGUAGGAAAUGUUAUUUCUCCAUAUUUCCUUUCGUACAAUAUAAGGAAGAUUGAUCGUUCUCCUGCUAUGCUGCAUAGUUUUCUCGAUUUUCUGUCUUAUCGAGAACAACGUGCCCUUAAAUCCCUUAAGGAUAACGACACCAUUGUCAUUAAACAGGCGGACAAGGGGGGCAAUGUGGUUCUGAUGGAUAGACUCAAUUACGAAAAAAUGGUACAGGAUGUUCUUAGUAAUAAAGACACCUAUACGGUCCUUCAAUCAGAUCCCACAAAUGCCUUCCUCAAGAAUUAUAAAGAGAUCUUAGACGAGGGACGCAGGGGAAGGCUCCUGUCUGAGGAGGAAUAUCGUUUUAUCCUUAACCCCUGUCCGAGAAUAGCAACCUUCUACUGCCUCCCUAAAGUCCAUAAAAAUAUUCAGAAUCCACCAGGCCGCCCGAUAGUCUCGGGGAUUGACAAUUUGACACAAAAUGGGAGUCUAUACAUUGAUCGUAUCCUUAGACCCUCUGUAGAACGUUUGCCAUCUUAUAUUAGAGACACAAAGCAGGCUUUGCACCUCCUUACGAAUUUACAUAUCCCAUCUACAUCCAAUUUAUGUAGUCUCGACGUUGAAGCGUUAUAUUCCUCUAUUCCACAUCAAAGGGGGCUUGAACAUAUUAGGUAUUUCCUGAAUAAAAGAGGUGUUGAACAUCAGGCACAUACUGAAUUCACUGUCAAUCUUCUUGAGUUCAUCUUAACACACAAUUUCUUCUUAUUUAAUAAGAAGUUCCACCACCAAGUGAGAGGCACGGCGAUGGGCACAGCUUGUGCUCCAUCAUAUGCCAACCUCCACCUUGGCUGGUGGGAAGAACAUAUCAGGACCAUCGACACAUUAUUACCUUUCAUGUCUAAGAUUACAUCAUGGUAUAGGUACAUCGAUGAUGUCUUGAUAAUUUGGCAGGGAGAUGCUGAUGAAUUCAAUCAAUUUGUUGCCCUCCUCAAUAUUAAUGAGGACAACCUACGCUUCACUUCUGAAUUUGGGGGACAUUCUCUGAAUUUUUUGGACCUCACUAUCUCGAUAUGUGGAGAUGGCUCCAUUAAAACUACUCUCUUUAGGAAACCAUCCGCAUCCAAUUCUCUUCUUAAGUGGGAUAGCCACCACCCUAGGCCUCUUAAACAAGGCAUUCCAACUGGUCAAUACCUCAGGCUUCGACGGAAUUGUUCCGACCUGGAAGACUUUCAAACCAAGGCCAAAUCCCUGCGUCAACAAUUUAAAGAGAAAGGCUAUCCAAACAAAUGUCUAAAAAGAGCCUAUAGAAGAGCAUUGCUGACGGACAGGGAAGAACUUCUGUCUGAUACAUCUGAUGCUAGUCUUAGUACCAACAAAACCAUUAGGAUGAUCGGAACAUUUGAUACCGGUUGGAAUGAAAUAAAGCAAUCGUUUCAAAAAUUCUGGCCUAUCCUCCUUAGAGACCCACACUUGAAAGAAGUACUUGGCCCACGGGUUACCAUUACAGCCAGGAGGGGUAAAAACCUCCGUGACUUGUUGUCCCCCAGCCACUAUUCAUGUAAACAGAGUUUACAGCCUUCAUGGCUGGGACGUCAAAUCCCAGUGGGCACGUUUCAAUGUGGGAAAUGCGUAGCGUGUAAAUACAUCCUAAGGGACUCUAAGAGAGUAGUUGACAGUGAGGGAAAACUUUCCUUUCAAAUCUCCCAUUUUUUUAACUGCAAUUCAGUGGGAGUAGUUUACCUCCUCACAUGCAGUUGUAAAAUGCUUUACGUGGGGAAGACAUUUAGGCCCUUCAAGGAGCGUAUAAAAGAACACGUGAGAUGUACCAAAAACCGUGUAGAGACCCCCAUUUCUAGACACCUUAAAGAACAUCAUGAUGGGUUGUCUAGAAAUAUACGCUUUUGUGGUCUCGAGCUGGUCAAACGUGAGUCCAGACGAGGAGACUUCGAUAAAAUCCUACGUCAAAAGGAAUGCAGAUGGAUCUAUAAACUUAACACCCUUCACCCAAAAGGACUUAAUGAGGGUUUUUCAUUUUCUCCUUUCAUUUGAAAGAGAGUGUCUGCUCAUCUGAAGUACAUAGAAGUGUAUAUACAUAUAUGUGGUUGAAGAUCCUAUUUUUCUCUUUAAGUGGGCAUUUACUCAGGAGUGUAUACCUGCAGUCAUUUCCCUACAUCUUAUUAAUUUAUGAAUUUAUUAAUUCAUAUCAAGUAAAAAUUUCCUGUCUUGACGUCAUAGGUCAUGUUUUUGUGACGUAUAAUUUUUGAUGUGAUAUCAUUAAGUACUUUAGUUACAUAUUAUUUACUUUGGGUUCAUCACCUUUUUCUUCUUUUUCGUUUUGUUUAAUUUGGUACCUGCCUCAAUUGUGGAACAAUUUUGGUAAAAACUUCAGAUCACUGUUCACAUUACUUACAUAACUACACAAUAUCUCCAUCUGUUUUAUCUAAGAAUACCAAUUUCAACAGGUGGAGAUAUAUUGUUAUUUUGUGGGUCUGUGACUAUAGUUAAUAUGCACAAAUGAGCACUAAUUUGGGAAGGAUCAUUGUAUCCCCUUUAGUGCAAGGACAAUGUCUUUGUCCACAUCUUUUGCCUAUUAUCAUAACCUGAUAUUUCCAUCAGGGUAUAUGUAUUAACAUCUAUUUACCACAAUAUAACCACUUUCUCACAGCGAUCACUCGAUCGGACUAUAAUGUGAAUGGUGUUUGAACACGCCCCUGUCUCUCCCAUUUGUUAGAUGGGAGACCAAUAGGUGAUGUACACCGAAGGGGCGUUUCUAAGUUUACAGCUUUAUCGGCACCUAUUUUGCAUCUUAUGUGGGUCGGAGCCUGACCACGCCCCCGUCCAUGCCCUUGGGUGCCCCAUUGGCUAAUGCGAAAUACUGGGAGUAACCAAUUUACGGCACCCGGCACAGGUGACGUCUGCGAUGGCGAUUGGCAGUCCUGACUUGAGGGGCGGGACCUACUUACCUUUUUAACACGGACAUUCAUACAGACACUUUUCAGCUCUUGACAAAGGCGGUUAGAUACGCCGAAACGCGCGUCGAGCAAUCUUGCAAUGCCGAUGCAUUUAUUUUGAGUUCUUUUUGUGUGCUUUUUUUGCUAUUUUCUUUUUUUCUAACUAGCCAUCCCUUUUUGUUUAUUCCAAUUAUGUCCGUUUAGGAUUUGCUGAGACAGACAGGAGUGGGGGCUAUAGGGUCAGCAUCUAGGCUGCCUCGAAGCAGCAGGUAGUUUAUUUGAUCUCCCCUGUAUUUUGGGAGACAGCUAGCAGCACCAGGGCAAGUUGGGGCACAUGAGUGGGACGCUUUUAUGUUCUUGGUAAUAUCUCUGGCAUUUAGCCUAGCAUUUAUACCACUCUUUUUUGCCUUCUGCCUACUGAUAGUACAUUGUGUAUGUAUUUGCAGCUGUCUCACCACAUGUAGGGAUAUCAUUACCUACCAGGCUAUAUUUUCUAUUUAACCCUAUCUUUACCCCCCACCCCCCUCCUUCUCAUCCCCUCGCUUUGAUAUUGAGUCCUGGUUAAGACUACUAUAUACAGAUAUUAUCUUUUUUCUGUCUCCCUGUAUAACAGUUUUCUCUUUACCAGGUAUCUCACAGCACUUUCAAUUGGGAUGUAUUCUAGUUAGUAUCUGUGAAUAUUUAUUUCACCCACUUGAUAUCCCCUAAGGUUUUUUUCUGGCAACUUUUAUAGCCAGUCCUGUUUUAAUAUGUAUGUCAUUUUCUAUUAAAGGUCUUAGAACCCGCUAUACUUAGUACAUUUAUAUUUUAGGAGGUAUAGAUUCAUGAAUGAAUAGGUUUCCCACCUUUAUAUUCAAUUCUGGUGGUUUUCCAUUUCAUUUCUCUUUUUUUCUUCUACUGCUGACGAAAAGCCUUUGUCUGCUAAACACCUGAAAGGACUGUCUGUCACAAAGGAUCUUCUGUCCUGCCAGUUCUGGGAAAAAAUACUACCUCUUACCUUCGGCAGCUCUUUUGAUGGCCUCCUCCAAUUGCUUGCCAAACAAUAAUUGCCCAAGAUAUGGGAUAGCACGUAAAUUCUUUUUCGCAAAUAGGUCUGCAUUCCAUGAUUUUAACCAGAGCUCUACGUUCAGAAACCGAUAACGCCAUAUUUCUUGCUAGGUUCUUAAUUAUAUCCAGAGAUGCGUAUGAGAUAAACUCAGAUGCCCAUUUAAUUUCUGAUAGGGAUUGUAGUAGAGAUGGCCUACUUACACCCUUCUCAAUAUCAUCUUCCAGAAGACAAAGCCAUUUCAUUAGUGCCUUAGAGAUGGAAGUCAUAGCUACUGCAGGUCUACAGGCCACUCCAGCAGAAACAUAAUUCUUACUGUGGCGAAACCAACCUCGCCACUGUACACUGGAGAAGCCUGGUUGCUCACCUGCUCCCUUUAGACUAUGGCCCUACCGUUCAGACCUGUUAUUUUCCCUGUGUAACGGACCGUUUUGCCCACAAGAGGUUAAAACUCGUUUAGGCGAUAUUCCCCUUUUUCAGAUGCACAGACAGCUACUGCAAUCACCACUCUCCCGAACUGCAAACACACUAAUACUGGAAACAGCCGAAUAGGAAAAACCAUGCGAAUAGGUUUACACUCCUAGCACUCAAACUGGAACAGCAUGCAAUAAAUCCUCCCCCAAUAAUGAGACGACACUUCACUUUGAGGGUUAAGCAGGCACUCUCUGUAAUGGCCACACACUGGCUUUUAUGCAAGUCCCCAUGCAAGGGGACAUCCCACAGGGUGGGACACAGUACAACCAAUCGUUUACAGGAGAACCAUAAAACACACCCACAAUUACAUCACAAUCCCUCCUCUCUGUCCUGGAGAUAAUUGUGAAGUAAUCCAAUUAUCUCCCAGGACAGAGGCAAGACUCCAUUAACCACAUGGCAGUAACAAUACAAUAAAAGACAUAAAAUUACAUACAGUUACAUUUAUUCCAUAAAACAUAGACAUUCUACAUAUCCCCAGAUAGCUUAGAUCUGAGCGCACAUUACUACCGAAUGGCGCUCAAAUCACAUACAUACAGUUCAAUCGCCAUUAAACACUUACCUUUCUCCAGUGCUGGGCUCCCUCUGUGCUGGAGACUCUCCUCCUCCUUUCCCGUCAUCGGCUGAAUGCGCAUGCGCUGCGCGCACAUUCAGCCAGUCUCAUAGGAAAGCAUUCUCAAUGCUUUCCUAUGGACGCUGGUGUUUUCUCACUGUGAAAAUCGCGGAAGUGCUUCUAGCGGCUGUGAAUGAGACAGCUACUAGAGGCUGGAUUAAUCCAUAGGUAAACAGCAGUUUCUCUGAAACUGCUAUGUUUACAGCAGAAAGGGUUAAUCCUAGGUGGACCUGGCACCCAGACCACUUCAUUAAGCCGAAGUGGUCUGGGUGCCUAUAGUGGUCCUUUAAUGGCUUCAUGACUCGGAAAAGAAGGUUUCUGCUUCAUCAAUUCUGGAAAUAUACAGGGAGUGCAGAAUUAUUAGGCAAGUUGUAUUUUUGAGGAUUAAUUUUAUUAUUGAACAACAACCAUGUUCUCAAUGAACCCAAAAAACUCAUUAAUAUCAAAGCUGAAUAUUUUUGGAAGUAGUUUUUAGUUUGUUUUUAGUUAUAGCUAUGUUAGGGGGAUAUCUGUGUGUGCAGGUGACUAUUACUGUGCAUAAUUAUUAGGCAACUUAACAAAAAACAAAUAUAUACCCAUUUCAAUUAUUUAUUAUUACCAGUGAAACCAAUAUAACAUCUCAACAUUCACAAAUAUACAUUUCUGACAUUCAAAAACAAAACAAAAACAAAUCAGUGACCAAUAUAGCCACCUUUCUUUGCAAGGACACUCAAAAGCCUGCCAUCCAUGGAUUCUGUCAGUGUUUUGAUCUGUUCACCAUCAACAUUGCGUGCAGCAGCAACCACAGCCUCCCAGACACUGUUCAGAGAGGUGUACUGUUUUCCCUCCUUGUAAAUCUCACAUUUGAUGAUGGACCACAGGUUCUCAAUGGGGUUCAGAUCAGGUGAACAAGGAGGCCAUGUCAUUAGAUUUUCUUCUUUUAUACCCUUUCUUGCCAGCCACGCUGUGGAGUACUUGGACGCGUGUGAUGGAGCAUUGUCCUGCAUGAAAAUCAUGUUUUUCUUGAAGGAUGCAGACUUCUUCCUGUACCACUGCUUGAAGAAGGUGUCUUCCAGGAACUGGCAGUAGGACUGGGAGUUGAGCUUGACUCCAUCCUCAACCCGAAAAGGCCCCACAAGCUCAUCUUUGAUGAUACCAGCCCAAACCAGUACUCCACCUCCACCUUGCUGGCGUCUGAGUCGGACUGGAGCUCUCUGCCCUUUACCAAUCCAGCCACGGGCCCAUCCAUCUGGCCCAUCAAGACUCACUCUCAUUUCAUCAGUCCAUAAAACCUUAGAAAAAUCAGUCUUGAGAUAUUUCUUGGCCCAGUCUUGACGUUUCAGCUUGUGUGUCUUGUUCAGUGGUGGUCGUCUUUCAGCCUUUCUUACCUUGGCCAUGUCUCUGAGUAUUGCACACCUUGUGCUUUUGGGCACUCCAGUGAUGUUGCAGCUCUGAAAUAUGGCCAAACUGGUGGCAAGUGGCAUCGUGGCAGCUGCACGCUUGACUUUUCUCAGUUCAUGGGCAGUUAUUUUGCGCCUUGGUUUUUCCACACGCUUCUUGCGACCCUGUUGACUAUUUUGAAUGAAACGCUUGAUUGUUCGAUGAUCACGCUUCAGAAGCUUUGCAAUUUUAAGAGUGCUGCAUCCCUCUGCAAGAUAUCUCACUAUUUUUGACUUUUCUGAGCCUGUCAAGUCCUUCUUUUGACCCAUUUUGCCAAAGGAAAGGAAGUUGCCUAAUAAUUAUGCACACCUGAUAUAGGGUGUUGAUGUCAUUAGACCACACCCCUUCUCAUUACAGAGAUGCACAUCACCUAAUAUGCUUAAUUGGUAGUAGGCUUUUGAGCCUAUACAGCUUGAUGAUGAUGUGGUCAAAAUACUAAUUUGCCUAAUAAUUCUGCACUCCCUGUAGAUGAGAACUAGGUUCAUCAAGCUUUAGUGUAUAUAGUGUAUAUCUGACAGCCUUAAUUAAUUUUUCUAUGGUCUUAACAUCCAUAUGUUCUUCCACUAAGUCCGAACCUUCUGAGGAAUACAUCUCUUCACCUUCCUCCGACUGAGCUUCCACAAAUGAGGCAUCAGAAUCCAAAUAUUCUCUAUAUCUAGGAGAAGUUGUUCUUGGCCUCUUAUUAGCUCUCUGCUGUUCCAUGGACUUAUCNNNNNNNNNNNNNNNNNNNNNNNNNNNNNNNNNNNNNNNNNNNNNNNNNNNNNNNNNNNNNNNNNNNNNNNNNNNNNNNNNNNNNNNNNNNNNNNNNNNNGGUCCGCGUGGUGAGCGUGGCACCAACGGCCGCGCCGCCCGCGGGCCACCGAAAGAGAAAUAAGGAGGAAAAUAACUGCAGCAGAACAGAGACACAGAGGGGAAAUACUAAAGAGUAGGGGGGGACAGUAUAGGCAGUCAGGGGUUAAAGUAGUAUAAUAAAAACACAAUAAAAAAUACAGCAAUACAUAAGGUAUACUAGAGGUAAAGUUACUCUGACCUGUAUAUGGCUGGAGCAGCAAAGAAAGAGGAAGUGAUGUCAUAGACAGGGCCUUUUAUGGGCACCAUAUCUUUUUUCUUAUUGGUUGUUACUGUUUCUAUGCUGCUGGAGUUUUCAGUAAAGAAAGAUAUGCAAAUAUGAAGCCUCCUGUCGUGGUAAAAAUUACAAUGCAGCGUAACCUGCCUGACAACCCAUGCCGAAAGUAAAGGGAAUUUAAUUUGCUAGCACUAUAUUUAACCCCAUAACUUUCCGAGACACCAUAAAACCUGUACAUGGGGGGUACUGUUCUACUCGGGAGACUUCGCUGAACACAAAUAUUAGUGUUUCAAAACAGUAAAUGUAUUACAACGAUGAUAUCGCCAGUAAAAGUGAAGUUUUUUGCAUUUUUCACGCACAAACAGCAUUACACGGACAAUAUUAUUGCUGUGAUACUUUUUACUGUUUUGAAACACAAAUAUUUAUAGCCUACGAAAGUCUUCCGAAGUACAACAGUGUUUCGAGUGUACAGGUUUUAUGGUAGCCAGUGCUACAGUGUCAAAUAUAAGCCAGUUUCAUUUUCACAUUGUACCAUGAUGUUGUUUUGAGAUCAGAUGGCAGCCCAGGAAUAAGAAUUACUUUAUGAGAAUAUUGUACAGAUAAUCUGGUAUUGCGCUCGGCCUGUCCAGUCUUUUUAGCGUCACUUCUUAGUCACAAACAUUGGCUUUGCAUUUUCACACACACAAACAAAUACUAACGCUAACUUUGGCCAGUGUUUGUGACCAAAUGGCUACUAAAAAAGACUGGAUAUACCCCAUUUGCAAUACCUUGGGUUGUCUACUAUUGCAAAUGGUAUGCCAUUAUGGGUGUAAAUUUCAUUCCUGGGCUACUAUACAGUCUCAAAGGCAACAUAACCUAUCUGGCGAAUUUCAAUUUCAAAUGUAACGUGCUAUAUUUGACCCUGUAAAUUCCCAAAACGCCAUAAAACCUGUACAUAGGGGGUACUGUUUUACACGUGAGACUUUGCUGAAUACAAAUAUGUGUAUUUUAUUGCAGUAAAAGCAAACAGUAUUAUGACAUUGACAGUUAAAAUGUCAUGUAGAACUAAAAAAAUAAACAAAAUUCUUAUUUUCUCCCAUUUUUUUCAAAUUAAAUUAUGUUUCAUAGCUAAAUAUUUGAUAUUAAAUGAAAGCCCUGUUUCCCCUGAAUAAAAUGAUAUAUAAUAAGGGUGGGUGCAUUUACUAUGAAAGAGGUGAAUUACGGUUGGACAGACAUGUAGCGCAAAUGCCAGGUUUUGUUUACGUUUUGUUUUGUUCACAGCGUGUACAUUUGGCUCAGUCCUUAAGGGGUUAAAGCAGGGUGAAGUGAGGGAAGUGUUUUGUGGAGAAAGAAGGUUUGCUGUUUAUUGUAUCCUGUUACUUCAUAACAACACAAAAUAAACAGGCCAGAGGCCUUUUUGAAACUGGACUUUGUCUUUACCUGGUUUUCUUACCCUAGAGGGCUGUGCGGUUGCCAAAGAUCCUGGUCAAACACACACAGGAAAGUAAGUUUGUCACAAUAUAUAUAUAUAUAUAUAUAUAUAUGAAAUAUCAAAAUGUACCCACCAAUAGUGAAGGAACUCCUAACUCCCUCCGUGUCAACCUGGAAGUGAAACCCACAAUCACGUGAUGUGCCGUAAUGGGAGCGUGGUGACGUGUUACCGGUUGAUAAGAUACUGAUAAACAAAUAGAAUUAUAUGAUUGGUAUUUAAUCUGUGUUAUAUAUAAAGCAUGAAAUGAAAAUAAAAAUAGCAGAGCAGACCUCUGUCCUCAUUUAGAGACUGUGCUUAACAAGUGGUAUGCGUGAAAGUGGAUAAACUAUCUAAAAUGUGUGAUAAAUAUCGUGAAUACAGUAUAUACUCGAGUAUAAGUCUAGUUUUUCAGCACAUUUUUUGAGCUUAAAAACCCCCACUCGACUUAUACUCGAGUCACUGUCUGUAUUAUGGCAACUUAGAGAGCCGCGGCCGUCAGAGCCAUGGCAACGAUCCGCGCGGCAACCAGACCGCUAGACUUACAGUGGAGCUGACCGGAACGGAGGAGAAGGGAGCUGACAGGAGCUGCAGGAAAGGUAAGUAAAUGCUUCCUGCCGGCCCCCCCACUUCACAGCCCAUGCCACUGGACCACCAGGGAUUAAGAUAGCCCCCCUCCCUGACCAGUUAACAAGCAGGGAGGGGGGACAAAAAAAAAUUAAAAUAAUAAAAAAAUAAUAAUAUUAAAAUAAAAAAAAAUUUAAAUAAUAAAAAUGCCCUCCCCCCACCUAGUUCACACACACUACACAAACACACACUCUGCAUUAUAUACACACUCUGCAUUAUAUACACACACUCUGUGUAUAUAAUGCAAAGUGUGUGUUUGUAUGAGUGUGUGUGUGUAUAUAAUGCAGAGUGUGUGUUUGUAUGAGUGUGUGUGUGUAUAAUGCAGAUUGUUUGUAUGAGUGUGUGUAUAUAUAAUGCAGAGUGUUUGUUUGUAUGAGUGUGUGUGUAUAUAUAAUGCAGAUUGUUUGUAUGAGUGUGUGUAUAUAUAAUGCAGAGUGUUUGUUUGUAUGAGUGUGUGUGUAUAUAAUUAUAAAAAUCACAGAAUUUCAUAGCCCUAAGUUUUACCCUCGACUUAUCCACGAGGCAUAGCAUAUUUCACAAUUGUUGGUCACAAAACUGCACUCGACUUAUACAUGAGAUCGACUUAUACACGAGUAUAUACGGUAAUCAAAUCCCAGCACAUUCUAAGUGAGAGAGAAAAGAGAAGAAGGAUGUGCAUAUGUUAAAAGCAUUUAAAAUAUAAUAGAGGAGUAAUACAAUUUAUGUAUAACAAAAUAUAGAUAUUUGAUGAAAAGAAAAGCAUACUGCUAUUGGGGCUUAUUGUAGGAUUACAUGAAUUUAGAAAUAGAGACCACAGAGAGACAGUAUCUCGAGCAGAUCUGAAAAAAACCAGGGAUGGUUUACUUGAACCUAUCACUAAAUAUAUUGACACUUUCAUCAAAGACAGCGUGAUGACAUUGCCACAUGCCUACGCGAUACGCAAGACUUUGUGUCUAAAAUUCAUUCUACAGUGUUUGUGACUAAGUGGCUACUAAAAAAGACUAAACAUACCCCACGUUCAAUACCUUGGGUUGUCUACUUUUGCAAAUGGUAUGCCAUCAUGGGGGUAAAUCUCAUUCCUGGGCUCCUACAUGGUCUCAAAGGUAACAUUACUAAUCUGGCAAAUUUCAAUGUGAAAAAACUAAAAAAUGGAAUGUGCUAUAUUUGACCCUUUAACUUUCCAAAACACCGUCAAAUCUGUUAAGGUAGGUACUGUUUGCUGAGUCUAAAUAUGUGCUUGUUUUGCAGUAAAAGCUGACAGUAUUUGUAUGACAUUUACAGCUAAAAUGUGAGGCGGAACUACACAUUUAUUUAAAUUUUUUUCAUAAUAAAUUAUGUUCCAUAUAUGAAUAGUUAAUGAUAAAUGAAAGCCCUGUUUCUCCUGAACAUAAUGAUAUAUAAUAAGUGUGGGUGCACUUAAUGUGACAGCGGUGAAUUACGGUUGGACAGACAUAUAGCGCAAAUUGCAGUUUUUGUUUACGUUGUACUAUUGACUCCGUCCUGAAGGGGUUAAACGUUGUGGUGCGAUUUUGUGCUUUCUGGAUUUUACGUUGCAUCCAGUUCAGUGUUUUCUUAAGCUGUUUCCUUGGAAUUCUGUUCACAAUGUUGUGACAUUAGUUUGGAACACCCAUCUGCCUCACUGUUGGUUUUUUUUUUUCCAGUUGCUUCAAACAGGGAGUAUUCCAGGGCCUGACUACUAUUUCUAGAAUUUAUCUUCCAGAAUCAAAAUCUGGUGGUAUAGCAGCAAACAUCGCUUUCCCAGCUCUUCUGCACAUCUAAGAACUGUACAUAGGCAAAUAAUCAGUCCCUCCUGGUGCCAUGAGCGCUAAGCUUCCUUGGAUUUCAGAAUAAUGUUACACAAACAUUUAUAGACAGACAAACGUUCACACACACACACACACACACUUUUGAUGUUAUUGAAUUUGUUUAUUUACACCACACUCAAGCUCCAUUUUCUUAUUUUAAAGGUGAGCCGGGUUGGGACCUCCUACACUCUCUGUACUGAUUGCCCAGCUCACUGCAGCUCUGUACUGAUGCUGGGGCUGGUCUGAUAUCACGUCCCAGCAUAUGUACAGGGUGCACAAGAGAGCUCUGCAAUCAUUACAGUGACAUCCAAAUGGUUUCCUCACCACCUGAACAGGCACCUGCCAAUCAGAGCCCUACCAGCAAUGUGCCAGAAGACCGAUGUCUGCUCUGGCUAGAUGGGGAUGGCCUGUGUACACACCGUCGCCUGUCACUCAGGGCAGACCACUUUCCCUGACCCCCCCCCCCUCCGAUUAGCACACAACUAGUAGUUAGUGAUAGGUAGAGAGUUAGUGUGGCAUGGUAUUAUGAGUGGAUGUCUAGUGAGGAAUUUUAUGAUGGGUAGUAAUUAAAGGGACACCGUAGGCAAUAUAACCAUUUCAUCUCACGAAAAAAUAUAAUAAUGCGUUGUCUCCUGGCACUGUCCCUCCAUUCAAUAAUACCAUUUUUGAGCUGUUAACACAAAGCUGCCCACAGCUGUGCCGACACUGGAGCUAAUAACUAUUCAUACCAGAUGAAAAUGGUCAGCUGGUACUCUCAGCCAAUCACCACCAGCCAUUGCUGGUCAAGCUUCAUUAGCCCAAGGACGACAGAGGAGAUGGGCUGCUGGAGGCUGUUGUUUAGCAUUAAACCAUUAAAAACCAUUUAACACUUACACUGCAUUGAAGGAUGCCUCCAGGGGACUUCAGACACUAUAGCCACGUCAUUAAGAUGCCAGUUAUCUACCCAAGGCAGUGUAGGGAGGGAGAGUGAGAAUCGAGGAGAAAAAAAAAAAGGUGGAUGAAAACGAGUGAGCAUAUUGGGUAGGUAUUAUGUGUGGAUUGGUAAGAUGGAUAAAUAGUUAGUAUUUAUUGGUACAGAUCAUUUAAAAUUGUUAUUGUCAUGGUAGGCUGAGUAGAUGGUUGUUGUUUAAUAGUAGGACUGGCAGAUAAUGAGUGUUUAGAUAGGUAGAUGGUUGAUGCCACCUGUCACCUCCUCCCAUGCUCUGUCGCUCCCUCCCACGCCCUGCCACCUGCCACCCCCUCACUCUGCCAUCCCUAUCGCACCCCACACUGUGUAUACUGCACCACUAUCCCACCCUACACCCCUACCGCUCUGCACACACCACAUCCCUAUCCCACCCCACACUGUGCUUUACGCAUUCUACAUAACCUACAAACUACAUCCCUAUCCCACACUAUAGUGUGUUCCUACAUCCAUAUCCCGCACAACACCAUGUUCCAUACACACACUGCAUAACCUACACAUUACAUCUCUAUCCCACACCACACCGUGUUCCAUAUACACACUCCAUAACCUACACACUGCAUCCCUAUCCCACACCACACCGUGUUCCAUACACACACACACUCUACAUAACCUACACACUACAUCCCUAUCCCACACCACACCGUGUUCCAUAUACACACUGCAUAACCUACACACUACAUCUCUAUCCCACACCACACCGUGUUCCAUAUACACACUCCAUAACCUACAAACUACAUCCCUAUCCCACACUAUAGUGUGUUCCUACAUCCAUAUCCCGCACAACACCAUGUUCCAUACACACACUGCAUAACCUACACACUACAUCUCUAUCCCACACCACACUGUGUUCCAUAUACACACUCCAUAACCUACACACUGCAUCCCUAUCCCACACCACACUGUGUUCCAUAUACACACUCCAUAACCUACACACUGCAUCCCUAUCCCACACCACACCGUGUUCCAUAUACACACUACAUAACCUACACACUACAUCCCUAUCCCACACCACAUGGUGUUCCAUACACACACACUGCAUAACCUACACACUACAUCCCUAUCCCACACCACACCGUGUUCCAUAUACACACUGCAUAACCUACACACUACUUCCCUAUCCCACACCACACCGUGUUCCAUAUACACACUGCAUAACCUACACACUACAUCCCUAUCCCACACCACAUGGUGUUCCAUACACACACACUGCAUAACCUACACACUACAUCCAUAUCCCACACCGUGUUCCAUACACACACACUGCAUAACCUACACACUACAUCCCUAUCCCGCACCGUGUUCCAUAUACACACUACAUCCCUAUCCCACACUGCAUAACCUACACACUACAUCUCUAUCCCACACCACACCGUGUUCCCUACUUAUUUAAAUACAAUUUUGAUUUUUUUUUUUUUUUUUUUUUAAAUUGUUUCAGGAAAAGUAGAUUGUUGCGGCGGACAAGUAGAUUGGGCAAACGCUUUAGUCCCUGUUUAGGUCUUGGACUUUGUUUAUUUAUGUAAUAAAAUAAAAAUGAUCAGUUACUUCCAGCAUAAUGUGUCAUGUUUAUAUUAACUCAAUAUUAGAAUAGCAUCACAGAAUAUUUUAAUGGAAACACAAGGUAUUUUUUUCCAAUUUGAAAGCAUAUGGUGAACGAGGAAAUAAUACAUAGAUUUUAAGAAAACCUGUGAAUCCUGUUAAAUAAAUAUAUUUGUAGGUGUUCCUCUAUAUCAAUUCAUAUUUAUUAAAAUCUCCCUCAUUCUAGAAUUACAUCGUUAUGAAGAGACAGAGCCAUAGUCCUUGCAUGUCAAAUGGAUCUAGCAGGACCCAGAGCUCCAGCACGGUGUCUCCACCUCACUCACUGAUACAUGAGGGAAACAAUGAG